CACCGCGGUUAUACGAGGGGCCCAAGUUGAUGGCCAUCGGCGUAAAGAGUGGUUAAGAUAAAACUAAAACUAAAGCCAAACACUCUCAAAACUGUUAUACGUACCCGAGAGCAAGAAGCCCCUCUACGAAAGUGGCUUUAACCCCUCUGAACCCACGAAAGCUAGGGAA
rnacentral:rRNA from 1 species